UCUUCCGUAGUAUAGUGGUCAGUAUGUGAGCUUGUCAACCUCCUUUCACAGGGAAAAAGACUUCGCUCGAGACCCGGGUUCAAUUCCCGGCGGGAGAG